rnacentral:rRNA from 1 species
AUACGAACCGUCCAAACGUUAUUCGGAAUCAUUGGGCUUAAAGGGUGCGUAGGCGGUGCGGUCAGUUGGGUGUGAAAUCCCUCGGCUCAACCGAGGAACUGCGCCCAAUACUGCCGUACUUGAGGGAGACAGAGGUAAGCGGAACUGAUGGUGGAGCGGUGAAAUGCGUUGAUAUCAUCAGGAACACCUGUGGCGAAAGCGGCUUACUGGGUCUCUUCUGACGCUGAGGCACGAAAGCUAGGGGAGCGAACGGGAUUAGAAACCCCAGUAGUCC